rnacentral:rRNA from 1 species
UAGUCCACGCCGUAAACGAUGUCUACUAGCAGCUCGGUUCUUACGAACGGUUUUGCGCAGCUAACGCGUUAAGUAGACCGCCUGGGGAGUACGGCCGCAAGGUUAAAACUCAAAUGAAUUGACGGGGGCCCGCACAAGCGGUGGAGCAUGUGGUUUAAUUCGAUGCAACGCGAAGAACCUUACCAUCCCUUGACAUCCAGAGAAUUUACUAGAGAUAGUUUAGUGCCUUCGGGAACUCUGAGACAGGUGCUGCAUGGCUGUCGUCAGCUCGUGUUGUGAGAUGUUGGGUUAAGUCCCGCAACGAGCGCAACCACUAUCCUUAGUUGCUAACGCUUUGGGCGAGAACUUUAAGGAGACUGCCGGUGACAAACCGGAGGAAGGUGGGGACGACGUCAAGUCAUCAUGGCCCUUACGGGAUGGGCUACACACGUGCUACAAUGGCUGGUACAGAGGGCUGCGAACUUGCGAGAGUAAGCGAAUCCCUUAAAGCCAGUCGUAGUCCGGAUUGGAGU